rnacentral:rRNA from 1 species
AUUGAACGCUGGCGGCAUGCCUUACACAUGCAAGUCGAACGGUAACAGGUCUUCGGAUGCUGACGAGUGGCGAACGGGUGAGUAAUACAUCGGAACGUGCCCGAUCGUGGGGGAUAACGAGGCGAAAGCUUUGCUAAUACCGCAUACGAUCUACGGAUGAAAGCGGGGGAUCUUCGGACCUCGCGCGGCCGGAGCGGCCGAUGGCAGAUUAGGUAGUUGGUGGGAUAAAAGCUUACCAAGCCGACGAUCUGUAGCUGGUCUGAGAGGAUGAUCAGCCACACUGGGACUGAGACACGGCCCAGACUCCUACGGGAGGCAGCAGUGGGGAAUUUUGGACAAUGGGCGAAAGCCUGAUCCAGCCAUGCCGCGUGCAGGAUGAAGGCCUUUGGGUUGUAAACUGCUUUUGUACGGAACGAAAAGCCUCUUUCUAAUAAAGAGGGGUCAUGACGGUACCGGAAGAAUAAGCACCGGCUAACUACGUG